rnacentral:tRNA from 1 species
GGGCGAGUGGUGGAACGGUAUACACGAGGGACUUAAAAUCCCUUGCCUGAAUAAGGCUUGUGGGUUCAAAUCCCACCUCGCCCA